CACAUUAUUCUAUAAUUUUCAUCUUUAUCUUGUAUAUUUCUCACAAUGAUCAGAUUGUUACCAUUGAGUCACAGUGGGAACUCCCUGUUGUUGGUUUUAACAUAUUUGAUGGAAAUAAAGACCAUACAAAAGGACAUAAUAAGCAUUCAAAUGAUUUCUCAGUAAAUGAGUGCACGAGUUUUUUGUACAGAAAAGUAUACACAUAUGCUUAUUUGCAAACACAGUGUCUUACUUAUCCAGAACACUUUCUGAACUAUUCAUAACACAGCAAAUACAAGAUCUUUGUGUUUAAAUGCUCUGAGAAGCUAAACUAGAUAUCAUAAGUCCAUAUCUUGAAGCUUUUUUAUCCAAAAAGGAAACUAACCAAAACAAAGUAACUCCAAAUUUAGCCUACACUCAUACUAUGGCAAAAAUAUACAUCUACUUUAAACCCUUUAGAUCAUAUUUACUUUUGCUUUGCAUGUAUUGUUAAACAACCUCGGUUAUGUGAUUUCUCAGGCCAGUGCCCAUUAGAAUCAACAAAUUAGGCAGAGCAUGGUGACAGCCUGAUAGAUUCAAGGCACAUUUGCAGAAGCAAAAAUGACAGGUGAAGGCUCUUUGAUGGAGAAGAAGGAAAAAUAUGCAGAAAGACUUAAAUAAGCUUAGUCUUAGGUCAUUUGAUGUAGAAGACACUAUUCUUCUUGUAUCCUGAUAAGCCUUCUCUAUUGCAGGUAAAAAUGAAAUAGCUUAUGUUUAUUGUAAUGAGUCAUUCCUGAGUCAUGAUUCAAAAGAGAUGUUAUAUUCAAACAUAUUGUUACUUUCAUUCAUUUCAUCAUUCAAGUGACAUUUACUGAGAUUGAUUUAUUUACUCAGUCAUGUGCAAGAAAAUGAGAAUAUAAAGAUUAAAAAAACAUGGCAGAGAACUUUGAAAAGCUCCCCAUUGGUAGGUGGAAACAGGCAUAGAGAAAACCAUAUUUGUAAAAACACGAGAGGAACAAAAUGUGCUAUACUAGAAAUAUUGACAAAGUGCUACAGAGACAACCAGUUAGAGUUUGAGGAUGCAUAUAGCAUGUAACAGAAAAUAAUUCCAAAUCAAACAAAUUUCAAUUAUUUAGAAAAGCCGUUAUGUGAUAUGCUGCCUUCCCAGGAAUGCCAGAUAAAUCAGGCAUCUCAUCACUGUGUGUUGCAGCGGUGACAAAUGGCAAAUAAGGCUGGAAUAAACCACAACUGCUUCCCGCAGCUUUAGAGGAAGCUGUCUGUGCAGGCAGUGGCUUGCAGGAAGGACCUGCCAUUCUUAGAAGCAGCUUAUAAUUUAUACACAUGAUUACACAUAUGUAGACAGAGCUGGAGGUAUAAUGGACAUUUAGGAUACAAACUAGCGAGGGGGCUGAUCCUGUCCUCUGGCUUGCUCUCAGCAUCCUUAACACAGCUACACAUGCUAUUAUGUCAUAGAUAUUAAGUCUUUCAUUAUAAAGACUUCACCAUAAAUUCUAUUCCAUUUCACUCUACUUCUCAGAAACUCAUCAGAUUUUUCUUUUUCCCACAAUCCAUUUUAAAACUUAAAUCAUAGGCUGCCUUAUCUUGUCAUUUGGCCAUUUGAUUUCACAUGUGCAUGGUCUGUCUUCUCCAUUAGAGAUUGUGACUUCUUAGAAAGAAGGAACUCUUCCUUCUAGGGCUCUGUGUCUCCCAGAUCACCUUGUACAUAGGUCAGGUACAAAGCAGCUACUCAACCAGUAACUUUAUUGAAUUUAAUACAAAGAUUAAAUCUUGCCAGUGCAGUAAGUGAAACUGCCAAAGGAGUUUUCCAAUGGGUAAGAUAACAUUCUGUGGCUUAAAAUUCCCUAGUAGGUGCCUUGUCCUCAUAGCAGCAGGCUAUAAACUCAUCCUGUCUGCAUUUAAAUUCAAUAUAACAUUUCUUUCUUUAUUAUGUACUACUAUUAUCACUGUGAAGAUUAGUAAGUGGCUCUUUCUGCCUAGCAGAUGCAGAUGACAGGAGCUUCUCAUCUCUUAUCACUGUGAAAUUGGACAGCCUACAUGGUUAAUGGAAGUCUGAGAAUAUAUCUGAUUGCUGGUGGUCUUAGCAUAAGUGCCAAGGAAAGAUUUAUGUUCCCAGUGGAACAAUCUCCUUCUGUGUCACACGAUCAUUCAUAAUCUGACUGCAGAUCUAGACUGUGACUAAUAUUUGGCUUUAAUAUGAUAGGUGGUUACUGUGGAAGGAAUCAGUAAGAGCAUAAUUGUCACUUCCUUGGAAAAAUUUAAUUCACAGAUGGAUCCCAACACCCAACUGCACUGGUGUCCAAAACUAAUGGGGAUUUUUGCUAAAUAAGGACCGAUC
rnacentral:lncRNA from 1 species